rnacentral:lncRNA from 1 species
AGCAUCUGGUCACGAGGACAUUAGGCGAAGAGAUGAGAGCGAGGACUUUGGUCAUCACUAGGCCAAUUCGAGAGGAGAGAGAGAGCGCAAUUCUGGUCACAACGACAAUUUAGAGAGGAGAGGAGGAGAGAGAGAGGAUUAUGGUCACACCGGACAAUUAGGAGAGGGAGAGAGCCACUUUCUGGUCACGCAGGACAAUUAGAGAGGAGAGAGAGAGAGAGCACUUCUGGUCACGCAGGACAAUUAGAGAGGAGAGAGAGAGCACUUCUGGUCACGCAGGACAAUUAGAAGAGAGAGGAGACGAGAGAGCAUCUGGAUCCACAAAGGACAAUUAUAGAGGAGGAGAGACGAGAGGACAUU